CCUACGGGUGGCAGCAGUGGGGAAUAUUGCACAAUGGGGGAAACCCUGAUGCAGCGACGCCGCGUGAGUGAAGAAGUAUCUCGGUACGUAAAGCUCUAUCAGCAGGGAAGAAAAUGACGGUACCUGACUAAGAAGCACCGGCUAACUACGUGCCAGCAGCCGCGGUAAUACGUAGGGGGCAAGCGUUAUCCGGAUUUACCGGGUGUAAAGGGAGCGUAGACGGCAGCACAAGUCUGGAGUGAAAUCCCGGGGCUUAACCCCGGAACUGCUUUGGAAACUGGGCGGCUGGAGUGGAGGAGGGGUAAGCGGAAUGCCUAGUGUAGCGGUGAAAUGCGUAGAUAUUAGGAGGAACACCGGUGGCGAAGGCAGCUUGCUGGACUGUAACUGACGUUGAGGCUCGAAAGCGUGGGGAGCAAACAGGAUUAGAUACCCCUGUAGUC
rnacentral:rRNA from 1 species